UUGAUUCAUUUGCUUGCCUGUACGCCGAUACUCGCUGGACAGAGGGUCUGGGUUCUCCGGCGGACGGUCCGGGCUCGGUGGCACCGGGGCGGAACGCCGAGGCAACGCGCGUGUGUUCACAGGGGGUUUGGAGUCUGGAACUCGGUAAUGAUCCCUCCGCUGGUUCACCAACGGAGA
rnacentral:misc_RNA from 1 species